UAUUCUUAAUUUAUAUUACAAUUACUCUCAAUGAAGAAAAAUUGAAUUGAAUAUAUUCUGAUUUGUAUUCUUCUCAUUCUAGGGCUUGAUCAAUUUAUACAACAAUUGAGGGAUACAUGCACACAUAAAGUGAAGGCGAAUUCCGUGAAACAGGAAUAUGAAAAACAAGAUGAACUUAAGCGUUCUGCACUACGUGCAGUGUGGGCACUGUCCAAAAUACCAAAAGCAGAAAAAAACCAGCAACUAACUGAUUUUCUUAAAUCAAUCAACGAUUCCCCAGAACUCAGUAAAAUAUAUGAAUACGUUCAGAAGGACUCUCUUUCAAAUAAUUUGGAUUUUACGAUGGAUGAAAGCUAAAUUAAAGUUGUGUAUUACUUUUUUAGUAAUGUAAAGUUAUUUUUGGGUUUAAAUAAAUUAAUAAUUCAAAAUAAAUAAUUAACCCAUUUACUGUAUAAUAAUUUAAUAGAAAAGUUUAAUGAAUAUAAACAUAGCAGCCAGAGGAACCAGUACCCAUUUUAUGCGAAUAAUUCUAAUAAAACAUUUUUUAUUCACACAUUGUUUAAUUUUUUUAUUUUUCUUCUCGUUUGUAACACCUGUUCUCACCUCAAUAUGCAAGACGGAUUCUGGUAAACAAUUUAAUACGCUAACUGGAACCAAACAAGGGAGAACAAUUAAUAAGACUCUGAACGAAUAAAAUGAAAAAUAAUAUUUAAAUGUUUGUAAAACAUCAGCAGAACUUCUAUAUAGCCUGGGAAGGAAGCGAUCAAAUCAGCCACUAAGUCAACCAGCCAGCUAUUUGUGAAGUCUACCAAUCGAACUUCCAGCACAUGUAGUUACACAGCUAAACUAUAAUAUAUUUAGAGUAGUUGGCUUGAUCAAUUUAUACAACAAUUGAGGGAUACAUGCACACAUAAAGUGAAGGCGAAUUCCGUGAAACAGGAAUAUGAAAAACAAGAUGAACUUAAGCGUUCUGCACUACGUGCAGUGUGGGCACUGUCCAAAAUACCAAAAGCAGAAAAAAACCAGCAACUAACUGAUUUUCUUAAAUCAAUCAACGAUUCCCCAGAACUCAGUAAAAUAUAUGAAUACGUUCAGAAGGACUCUCUUUCAAAUAAUUUGGAUUUUACGAUGGAUGAAAGCUAAAUUAAAGUUGUGUAUUACUUUUUUAGUAAUGUAAAGUUAUUUUUGGGUUUAAAUAAAUUAAUAAUUCAAAAUAAAUAAUUAACCCAUUUACUGUAUAAUAAUUUAAUAGAAAAGUUUAAUGAAUAUAAACAUAACAGCCAGAGGAACCAGUACCCAUUUUAUGCGAAUAAUUCUAAUAAAACAUUUUUUUAUUCACACAUUGUUUAAUUUUUUUAUUUUUCUUCUCGUUUGUAACACCUGUUCUCACCUCAAUAUGCCUGACGGAUUCUGGUAAGCAAUUUAAUACGCUAACUGGCGCCAAACAAGGGAGAACAAUUAAUAAGACUCUGAAUGAAUAAAAUGAAAAAUAACAUUUAAAAUGUUUGUAAAACAUCAGCAGAACAUCUAUAUAGCCUGGGAAGGAAGCGAUCAAAUCAGCCACUAAGUCAACCAGCCAGCUAUUUGUGAAGUCUACCAAUCGAACUUCCAGCACAUGUAGUUACACAGCUAAACUAUAAUAUAUUUAGAGUAGUUUGGUCGUGAAAUUUUACAAUCUAAAUGUCAGAGGAAUAUGUAGAAUUGUCGAUGGGAGAGCAAAUAAGAACACUUGUAGAUUCGGCUAUCCAAGCAGCUUCAGCUGUCAAUCAAUUGAAACCAACCCUAUUGCCUUACAAGACAUUGAUGACUUAAGAAAAAACAGUGGCUUGAUCAAUUUAUACAACAAUUGAGGGAUACAUGCACACAUAAAGUGAAGGCGAAUUCCGUGAAACAGGAAUAUGAAAAACAAGAUGAACUUAAGCGUUCUGCACUACGUGCAGUGUGGGCACUGUCCAAAAUACCAAAAGCAGAAAAAAACCAGCAACUAACUGAUUUUCUUAAAUCAAUCAACGAUUCCCCAGAACUCAGUAAAAUAUAUGAAUACGUUCAGAAGGACUCUCUUUCAAAUAAUUUGGAUUUUACGAUGGAUGAAAGCUAAAUUAAAGUUGUGUAUUACUUUUUUAGUAAUGUAAAGUUAUUUUUGGGUUUAAAUAAAUUAAUAAUUCAAAAUAAAUAAUUAACCCAUUUACUGUAUAAUAAUUUAAUAGAAAAGUUUAAUGAAUAUAAACAUAGCAGCCAGAGGAACCAGUACCCAUUUUAUGCGAAUAAUUCUAAUAAAACAUUUUUUAUUCACACAUUGUUUAAUUUUUUUAUUUUUCUUCUCGUUUGUAACACCUGUUCUCACCUCAAUAUGCCUGAUGGAUUCUGGUAAGCAAUUUAAUACGCUAACUGGCGCCAAACAAGGGAGAACAAUUAAUAAGACGCUGAAUGAAUAAAAUGAAAAAUAACAUUUAAAAUGUUUGUAAAACAUCAGCAGAACAUCUAUAUAGCCUGGGAAGGAAGCGAUCAAAUCAGCCACUAAGUCAACCAGCCAGCUAUUUGUGAAGUCUACCAAUCGAACUUCCAGCACAUGUAGUUACACAGCUAAACUAUAAUAUAUUUAGAGUAGUUUGGUCGUGAAAUUUUACAAUCUAAAUGUCAGAGGAAUAUGUAGAAUUGUCGAUGGGAGAGCAAAUAAGAACACUUGUAGAUUCGGCUAUCCAAGCAGCUUCAGCUGUCAAUCAAUUGAAACCAACCCUAUUGCCUUACAAGACAUUGAUGACUUAAGAAAAAACAGUGGCUUGAUCAAUUUAUACAACAAUUGAGGGAUACAUGCACACAUAAAGUGAAGGCGAAUUCCGUGAAACAGGAAUAUGAAAAACAAGAUGAACUUAAGCGUUCUGCACUACGUGCAGUGUGGGCACUGUCUAAAAUACCAAAAGCAGAAAAAAACCAGCAACUAACUGAUUUUCUUAAAUCAAUCAACGAUUCCCCAGAACUCAGUAAAAUAUAUGAAUACGUUCAGAAGGACUCUCUUUCAAAUAAUUUGGAUUUUACGAUGGAUGAAAGCUAAAUUAAAGUUGUGUAUUACUUUUUUAGUAAUGUAAAGUUAUUUUUGGGUUUAAAUAAAUUAAUAAUUCAAAAUAAAUAAUUAACCCAUUUACUGUAUAAUAAUUUAAUAGAAAAGUUUAAUGAAUAUAAACAUAGCAGCUAGAGGAACCAGUACCCAUUUUAUGCGAAUAAUUCUAAUAAAACAUUUUUUAUUCACACAUUGUUUAAUUUUUUUAUUUUUCUUCUCGUUUGUAACACCUGUUCUCACCUCAAUAUGCCUGACGGAUUCUGGUAAGCAAUUUAAUACGCUAACUGGCGCCAAACAAGGGAGAACAAUUAAUAAGACUCUGAAUGAAUAAAAUGAAAAAUAACAUUUAAAAUGUUUGUAAAACAUCAGCAGAACAUCUAUAUAGCCUGGGAAGGAAGCGAUCAAAUCAGCCACUAAGUCAACCAGCCAGCUAUUUGUGAAGUCUACAAAUCGAACUUCCAGCACAUGUAGUUACACAGCUAAACUAUAAUAUAUUUAGAGUAGUUUGGUCGUGAAAUUUUACAAUCUAAAUGUCAGAGGAAUAUGUAGAAUUGUCGAUGGGAGAGCAAAUAAGAACACUUGUAGAUUCGGCUAUCCAAGCAGCUUCAGCUGUCAAUCAAUUGAAACCAACCCUAUUGCCUUACAAGACAUUGAUGACUUAAGAAAAAACAGUGGCUUGAUCAAUUUAUACAACAAUUGAGGGAUACAUGCACACAUAAAGUGAAGGCGAAUUCCGUGAAACAGGAAUAUGAAAAACAAGAUGAACUUAAGCGUUCUGCACUACGUGCAGUGUGGGCACUGUCUAAAAUACCAAAAGCAGAAAAAAACCAGCAACUAACUGAUUUUCUUAAAUCAAUCAACGAUUCCCCAGAACUCAGUAAAAUAUAUGAAUACGUUCAGAAGGACUCUCUUUCAAAUAAUUUGGAUUUUACGAUGGAUGAAAGCUAAAUUAAAGUUGUGUAUUACUUUUUUAGUAAUGUAAAGUUAUUUUUGGGUUUAAAUAAAUUAAUAAUUCAAAAUAAAUAAUUAACCCAUUUACUGUAUAAUAAUUUAAUAGAAAAGUUUAAUGAAUAUAAACAUAGCAGCUAGAGGAACCAGUACCCAUUUUAUGCGAAUAAUUCUAAUAAAACAUUUUUUAUUCACACAUUGUUUAAUUUUUUUAUUUUUCUUCUCGUUUGUAACACCUGUUCUCACCUCAAUAUGCCUGACGGAUUCUGGUAAGCAAUUUAAUACGCUAACUGGCGCCAAACAAGGGAGAACAAUUAAUAAGACUCUGAAUGAAUAAAAUGAAAAAUAACAUUUAAAAUGUUUGUAAAACAUCAGCAGAACAUCUAUAUAGCCUGGGAAGGAAGCGAUCAAAUCAGCCACUAAGUCAACCAGCCAGCUAUUUGUGAAGUCUACAAAUCGAACUUCCAGCACAUGUAGUUACACAGCUAAACUAUAAUAUAUUUAGAGUAGUUUGGUCGUGAAAUUUUACAAUCUAAAUGUCAGAGGAAUAUGUAGAAUUGUCGAUGGGAGAGCAAAUAAGAACACUUGUAGAUUCGGCUAUCCAAGCAGCUUCAGCUGUCAAUCAAUUGAAACCAACCCUAUUGCCUUACAAGACAUUGAUGACUUAAGAAAAAACAGUGGCUUGAUCAAUUUAUACAACAAUUGAGGGAUACAUGCACACAUAAAGUGAAGGCGAAUUCCGUGAAACAGGAAUAUGAAAAACAAGAUGAACUUAAGCGUUCUGCACUACGUGCAGUGUGGGCACUGUCCAAAAUACCAAAAGCAGAAAAAAACCAGCAACUAACUGAUUUUCUUAAAUCAAUCAACGAUUCCCCAGAACUCAGUAAAAUAUAUGAAUACGUUCAGAAGGACUCUCUUUCAAAUAAUUUGGAUUUUACGAUGGAUGAAAGCUAAAUUAAAGUUGUGUAUUACUUUUUUAGUAAUGUAAAGUUAUUUUUGGGUUUAAAUAAAUUAAUAAUUCAAAAUAAAUAAUUAACCCAUUUACUGUAUAAUAAUUUAAUAGAAAAGUUUAAUGAAUAUAAACAUAACAGCCAGAGGAACCAGUACCCAUUUUAUGCGAAUAAUUCUAAUAAAACAUUUUUUUAUUCACACAUUGUUUAAUUUUUUUAUUUUUCUUCUCGUUUGUAACACCUGUUCUCACCUCAAUAUGCCUGACGGAUUCUGGUAAGCAAUUUAAUACGCUAACUGGCGCCAAACAAGGGAGAACAAUUAAUAAGACUCUGAAUGAAUAAAAUGAAAAAUAACAUUUAAAAUGUUUGUAAAACAUCAGCAGAACAUCUAUAUAGCCUGGGAAGGAAGCGAUCAAAUCAGCCACUAAGUCAACCAGCCAGCUAUUUGUGAAGUCUACCAAUCGAACUUCCAGCACAUGUAGUUACACAGCUAAACUAUAAUAUAUUUAGAGUAGUUUGGUCGUGAAAUUUU